rnacentral:tRNA from 1 species
GGAUGUAGCUCAGUGGUAAAGCACUUGUCUUACAUGUACAAAGCCCUGGGUUCAAUCCCUAGCUCCA